UACAGAUAUCAGAAGGAUGAGCGUGGGCCAGGAGCUUUGGAUGGUUUGGGAAGAGACAAAAUGAACAAUGUGAGAACAUUUCUGAUGGAAAUCGGCCCAACAGGUCCCUCUCAGGGCUUCAGUUCCCCCCAAACCCCACAGGUGGAAGUGUUGCAGAGCCCAGCCGAGCCUCCCCUGCACUCACGGCUCUCUGUCUCUCCUCUGGACACACCAGAAGCCACCAAGGAAACAUCUUCAGCAUCUUUCUGCCAGCUGGUUCAAAGCCUGCCCCCCAUGCUGAGGAGACACCUGGCCUGAGGACACGCGUGGGGUGACUGUGACUGAAGGAGCACAGAGUGGAGAGGCUGGCGCUGCCACCGCUGUCCCAAGGGAAUAAAACAUCCUCCCUGGGCAGAGAGCACCCUCCUUCCUCCCUCCUCAGCACCAGCCCAGCCCCAGCCCAGCCCUCCAGGAUUCCACACUUUUACCCAGCACGAUGCUCAGGACGCGUGGCCGGGCGGGGUGAGAGCACGGUGGUGCUUUGCCGUCCAGGAAACCGAGAGCAGCAAGCAGAGAUGUUAUCUCUGACAUCUGGCUCUGAUCAGGGAGCUCCGUCUGCCUUUGUCAAUGGAUGCGGGAUGGCCCGCGGCUGCUUUUUGUUUCAGGACUCCUCUGGGGUUCCCCUGGCAGCAGCGAAGCCAACGGAGGGAUCCCAGAGCUGGGGACACAGAGGCAGCACCGCCAGCCUUCCCCUCUGCCCUCCUCUCUGAGCAGCCACGGAGCAGAGCCAGCGCUGACCUUGGCACGGGCCAGAGAGCAGGAACGUGUCCUCACCCACCUUCCAACCCCCCAGGUGAGAGGUUUUAAGACGUUCAUCCCAUCCCAGCCCUGCCAUGGGCAGGGACACCUUCCACUAUCCCAGGCUGCUCCAAUCCAACCUGGCUUUGGACACUGCCAGGGAUCCAGGGGCAGGACACCCUGAGCACUGAGUGUCCUGCUCGUGCUCUCAGGGCUAUGGUGAUCAUGAGGUUUGAGGUCCCGGCCUCAUUUUCCCUGGGUCAGGCUAAGAGGGAUCCUUGGAGACUUUUGCCUUCUGGGAUGUGUGCAUCUCCUCCACACAUCCUGCUCUGUGCCAGGAGCCUGCCUGGGUUUUUGCUCUCCAGGCAUUUCAGGUGCUGGCUUUGGAUUAAAUGCUCAUGACAUGAA